rnacentral:rRNA from 1 species
CCCUUAGAUGUUCUGGGCUGCACGCGCGCUACACUGAUGCAUGCAACGAGUUUUCGACCUUGCCUGAAAAGGUUGGGUAAUCUGUUUAACAUGUGUCGUGAUGGGGAUAGACCAUUGCAAUUAUUGAUCUUCAACGAGGAAUUCCUAGUAAGCGCGAGUCAUCAGCUCGUGCUGAUUAUGUCCCUGCCCUUUGUACACACCGCCCGUCGCUCCUACCGAUUGAAUGGUCCGGUGAAAUCUUCGGAUUGCUGACCAAGAUCCAGCAAUGGAGCUUGGUUGCGAGAAGUUGAUUAAACCUUAUUAUUUAGAGGAAGGAGAAGUCGUAACA